rnacentral:tRNA from 1 species
ACUAUUUUGACAGAUAAGUGUAUUAAAUUUAGAAUUUAAGAAUAUAGAAUAAAUUUCUAUAAAUAGUA